UAGAAAACCCUGAUACUAUUUCAACAUAGUAAUGUGUUAUUGCUAUAUUCAAAUUGUAUCAGAUUUGUCUAUCAAAUAAACUAUAAAUUACAAUAAAGAAACAAAAAUAACGGUAAUACAUGAAAAAACAAGCAACAACAACGUAUAUGCAGCGACAAGCAAAAAUGAGGAGAGAAAUAAUGUGUGAGUGUUUAUUCAUACAUAUGUGUUCUUUUUGUCUUUGCUUGUGGCUGCUGCUACGACGUACAUUAGCGUAUGCAUUUGUCACCAAAUGUACGUUGUUGUUGUUGUUGAAGCGACAGUGUUCAUAUUUAUGUAUAUCUUUUUGUUUUUUCUUCUCAGUUGUUUUUUUUUUUUUUUUUCUCUGGUGUCUUUUUUUUGGGUGCUCGUGUCUACAUUUUUGUCGGUGUUUGGCGUUUUGUAGUUUUUUUCACAAUGGCUGAGGAAUAUAAUUUAAAAUCACUCGGUAAGGCGUUAAAAAAUAAAAUUUAUAUUAAACAUAUAUCUUUCUUUACCAGCCCUCCCUUAAAUAUACAUACAAUUUGUAAUGGAAAUACAUAUUUUAGAAAUAUGCGGUAUUAAUAAAUAAAUAAUAAAUAAACUUGUAAAAAUUA